AAGUAUUCAACUUGUUUAAUUUAUCUCACACUACCUUUUUCUUCAUCUUCUUUCACAUAGUUACCUAUUACAAGCCAUUCACUUUACGUGUACAUGAAAUUCAGCACCUUGUUUUGCAUGUUUGCUUCUCUACUCUUCACUGUUCUGUUCUAGUCACACCUCAAAAUCAAUCAAAUCCUUCAUUUUCAACACUAGGAAUGGCCAUUCUUCAAUUCCAUUGGUCACUUACACACACAUGCACUUCUAUUGUUUAUUCUUUUCAAAGUUGCAACUAUAUGAUAGUCUCUUCCAUUAUUUGCUUGAUCAUUCCUUUUAUAUGGCCAUCAUGUGAGAAUUGGUUCAAAAAUUUGAACCAAUGUUUUGAAAAUCGACAUGGACCGGAUGGUUCAACUGGUUUAAAAUAGUUGAACCAUAGUCUAGUGUGCCCGGUUCAACGUCCAAUUUGUUUUUUAAAACAUUAAAAUGAGAUUUUGAGAAAUAUAUUUGAAAGGUUUUUGCUAUUUAAGGCCAAUCCAUGGAAUGAGGUUGUUGAAGUAACUACUAGGGUUUGAAUGAAGAGGAAGGAUUAAAUAAAUCAAGUACUUGAACAGAACAAUGAAGAGAAAAGGAGCACACAAGCAAAACAUGGUGUUUAUUUCUAAUUUUUAGUAUUUAAUGUGAAUGGCUGGUAAUAGUUGAAUAUUAAAGAAGAAAAUUUUGUGAUCAAAGUGAAGUUAUCUCAGCAAAGUUUCUCCGAUGACUAACUAUAGUUAGCAGUCAAAAGGUUCAACUUGUGAAUGCAGGUGCAAAGGAACAUGUGAAUAUACACACCAUUAACAAAAUGAAAGGAAAAAGCCUCUGAAGUCAAUAGUGUGAGAUAUGAAAGUUGAUGUCCAACUAUGCUUAGAGUAAUAUGGAAAUUAUAUAUAUAAUUUCAAUUUGAAACAAAAGUUCUUGAAGAUUCAAAAAAUAUUCUAUCAAUUAUGCAGUAUUGUUUUGCCAAGAGUGUUUAGAAUAUGUGUAGAUACAUUAUUGUAAUUGGGCCAAUUUUGAAAGAUCAACCAAAUUCCUUUUAUUAAA